GUCGCUUUAGCUCACUUGGGAGAGCGUCAGACUGAAGAAUUAGGCCGUCAAAAAGCCUCUAACUUCGGUUCAACUCGAAUUUGAUAUCUGAAGGUACUGUGUUCGAUCCACAGAAGCGACA